CAAGGCUCGCCCAGUUGGGUCUGCUCUCUCAGGGAGAGUAAGUGUUUGGGGGGAGUUAGAGAAUGCAGAAGGCACUGGAGACAGGACGAGCUUAAACCUCAUUAGGAGAGAAAAAGUCUGUCAGGAAAAGGUAAACUGCGUCUCUCCAGAGAUUCACAGGCAUUAGGUUGGUCUCUAACUCCUGAACUCAAGGGAUCUUUCUGCCUCGGCCUCUGAGUGCGCUAGAUUAUAGGCAUAAGCCACAUGCUUGGGCAAGGUUAGGACUUUCUAUGCCUUGUUUUUAAAAAAAG